CUAAUACAUGCAAGUCGAGCGGACAGAAGGGAGCUUGCUCCCGGAUGUUAGCGGCGGACGGGUGAGUAACACGUGGGUAACCUGCCUGUAAGACUGGGAUAACUCCGGGAAACCGGAGCUAAUACCGGAUAGUUCCUUGAACCGCAUGGUUCAAGGAUGAAAGACGGUUUCGGCUGUCACUUACAGAUGGACCCGCGGCGCAUUAGCUAGUUGGUGGGGUAAUGGCUCACCAAGGCGACGAUGCGUAGCCGACCUGAGAGGGUGAUCGGCCACACUGGGACUGAGACACGGCCCAGACUCCUACGGGAGGCAGCAGUAGGGAAUCUUCCGCAAUGGACGAAAGUCUGACGGAGCAACGCCGCGUGAGUGAUGAAGGUUUUCGGAUCGUAAAGCUCUGUUGUUAGGGAAGAACAAGUGCGAGAGUAACUGCUCGCACCUUGACGGUACCUAACCAGAAAGCCACGGCUAACUACGUGCCAGCAGCCGCGGUAAUACGUAGGUGGCAAGCGUUGUCCGGAAUUAUUGGGCGUAAAGGGCUCGCAGGCGGUUUCUUAAGUCUGAUGUGAAAGCCCCCGGCUCAACCGGGGAGGGUCAUUGGAAACUGGGAAACUUGAGUGCAGAAGAGGAGAGUGGAAUUCCACGUGUAGCGGUGAAAUGCGUAGAGAUGUGGAGGAACACCAGUGGCGAAGGCGACUCUCUGGUCUGUAACUGACGCUGAGGAGCGAAAGCGUGGGGAGCGAACAGGAUUAGAUACCCUGGUAGUCCACGCCGUAAACGAUGAGUGCUAAGUGUUAGGGGGUUUCCGCCCCUUAGUGCUGCAGCUAACGCAUUAAGCACUCCGCCUGGGGAGUACGGUCGCAAGACUGAAACUCAAAGGAAUUGACGGGGGCCCGCACAAGCGGUGGAGCAUGUGGUUUAAUUCGAAGCAACGCGAAGAACCUUACCAGGUCUUGACAUCCUCUGACAACCCUAGAGAUAGGGCUUUCCCUUCGGGGACAGAGUGACAGGUGGUGCAUGGUUGUCGUCAGCUCGUGUCGUGAGAUGUUGGGUUAAGUCCCGCAACGAGCGCAACC
rnacentral:rRNA from 1 species